GCAUACAGCCGUGCCACUCUGAACGUGCCCGAUCUCGUCUGAUCUCGGAAGCUAAGCAGGGCCGGGCCUGGUUAGUACUUGAAUGGGAGACCACCUAGGAAUAGCAGUUGCUGCAGGCG
ensembl:rRNA 5S_rRNA 5S ribosomal RNA